rnacentral:lncRNA from 10 species
CACAGUAGUUGCUUGUCUUGUGUGUGUGUGUGUGUGUGUGUGUGUGUGUGUGAGCAUGUUCUUCAAUACCUGUUAACCCUUUUGCUAUUCAAUGUGAUCACCAAAGAAAGCUCUGAAGCAACAAAAUGAUUUCCUGUGACAGAGGUGCAUGGCAUUAUAAGCAGAAAGACACUUGAAGCCCCUAAGAGAAUGAGUGACAGAUCUA